GUCUGCUAGUGAGUGUUAGUGUGUGUGUGUUAGUGUGUGUGUGUCUGCUAGUGAGUGUCAGUGAGUGUGUUACUGUGUGUGUCUUACUGAGUGUGUGUGUGUUAGUGAGUCUGUUUGAUGUCUGUUAGUGAGUGUGUGUUUGUCAAUGAGAGUGUAUGUUUUGUAAGUGAGUGUGUAUGUAUGUCUGUCGCUGACUGUGUCUCUGUCAGUAAAUG